rnacentral:rRNA from 1 species
GAUAAACGCUGGCGGCGCACAUAAGACAUGCAAGUCGAACGGAAGUCGUUAUAAAAGGAUUGAAGAUUUAUCUGAUUGAGAUUUUAUAACAAUGGCUUUAGUGGCGGACUGGUGAGUAACGCGUGAGCAACCUGCCUACUAGAGGGGAAUAACAGUGAGAAAUCAUUGCUAAUACCGCAUAUGCCAUGAACAUCACAUGAUGAAAAUGGGAAAAGAGUAAUCUGCUAGUAGAUGGGCUCGCGUCUGAUUAGAUAGUUGGUGGGUAACGGCCUACCAAGUCGACGAUCAGUAGCCGGACUGAGAGGUUGAACGGCCACAUUGGGACUGAGAUACGGCCCAG